UAAAUCUUAUUAAUUCGACUUCCGCCCUUUGUUUCUCUCAAAUCAGAUCCGAAAAUCCCGAAUCAGAUCUGCUGACUUCAUAUAUUUUUCUUCAUCUUGAUGUUCUCCCACAAACUCUUUUGAUCUUCUCAUUCAUCCCUCAUAUUUCUCCCUUCUAUCAUUUCCUCACUCUCUUCUUUUGGAGUUUGUUACCUUCCAUGGGGGGGAACUAUUCCAUUACUUACCGAAAGACCUAAUCCUUUGAAAGCCCUAAUUCUUGAAACCUCGAUUCCGUUCUAGAAGCCUGAAGUCCUAAUUCGUCAUAAAUUUGAAUUCAAAUCUAAGCUUCCUUACUGUUUAUGUUUUCUAAAAUUCAAAGAUUUUUCUCCUUUUGCCUCAAAUAUGGCUUCCUCAUCUUACAAAUUUUUCCAUGUCCCCCGAUAUGCUCCCACAUAUGGUCUCUAUUAAAUUGGACUCUACCAACUUCAUGAGCUGGAAUAGUCAAAUUUUUUCAUUCCUACAUGGGCUAAGACUGAUGGGACAUCGUGAUGGAACCUUAUCUUCUCAUCUACCACAUUGAAAAAGAGAUUGUUGUUAAAAAUGACAAAAAGGAGAUGAAACAGAUGCAUAUUCCUGCCAACUCCAACAGUGUAAGUGAGAGAAUAUUACCUCCGGCAACCCCAACGAGUUUUGUCGUUAGGUAAGUCUUGUCAAAGCCCAAGUUGAAGAAGUAUGUGAUGUGAUGCGUGGGAGUGCGAGAAAACUACAGGUAAAAAAAAGGUGAGAGGACUUUGUUAUCAACUAGUUGUAAAUGGCCAUGAGAUUUGCGAUAAUGAUAAAGUACUCAACCUGCUUGGAGGAUUUGGUGAUGAAUUUGACAUAUUUGUCACAUUGGCCAUGUCUAGACCACCCACACCUAGUUUCAAUGAGCUCUGAAUUCUAUUAUUGCAGCAUGAAGCCUUACGCAAGCAAAAUCAGUUGAAGCUGAAGAAGAGAAUCAUGACGUCUUAAAUGUCAUUUCUUAAAUCUCUAAUUUCUACUAGAGGCUGUGGAAGAGGAAAAAAUAACCGCGGUUGUGGACAGGGUCAGUUCUAUACCCCUUACUGACAUUAUAGAAAUCAAUUAUAUGCUGGUUAUAACAAUCAACAACGAGGUCAUAAUCCCCAGGGAAUUUUGCCACUAUCCUCUUAGCAUGCCAGUGCCAACCAGUCCACUAUAUGUCAGCUUUGUGGAAACAAAUGAACCACAACCUCCCAGUGUUUCCCAUCAUGAUCUUGUGUUUUAAUAUAUUCUUACUGGCUUGACGCAUUCAAUUUCCAAUCUGAGCAUAUCAUAACCCCAACCCAUUUUCACAUCUUGGAUUAUGAAUAUUGGGGAUGACAGGUAUGUGGCAUCUGAUGCAUGUAUGUUUUCUUUCUUGGUUCUGUAUGUUGGUAAAGGGAAAGUCAUUACAGGGGAUGACACUACACCUCUCAUCAUUGGAGUUGGAACUGCCAUUCUCUUCUCAUAUUUGGGUUUCUUUUCUUUGCUUAAUUCCUUUUUAGUUUCAAAAGUUAAGUGGAAUGUUAUUUCAAGUCGCAACUAGUUGAUGGUUUGAAGUGCUUAAGAUCUAGUCUUGACUUGUGUUCGUGAAGGAUCUUGCCACAAAGAAAUCAGUAAGAAAGAAAGCCAAACACAAGCAUAAGUCAGAAACUUAGGGUUUCUUUCCAUUCCCCAAAGUAGGGUUCCAAAAGCUUAUGCUUUUCUUUAUUUCAAUUUCUAAAAAUGUCGAAAUUGACUCUCUCAACGCCCCACACCUCAUAUAUUGUAGCCCCACACCUCAUAUAUUGUAGUUCAAUUUUCAAAGACAUUACCUGUCCAUAUAAUGAUUAAAAUGACCUAUAUAGGCUAACUUAAACUUAAAUUUUGUAAUGACAGUUUUACCCCUAUGAACAGUACCUGUGAACAAUACUUUUGAAUAGUACUUAUGAAGUAAAUAAAAAACUAAAAAUCCUAGAUC
rnacentral:lncRNA from 1 species